UACGGAGGGGGCUAGCGUUGUUCGGAAAUACUGGGCGUAAAGCGCACGUAGGCGGCUCAGCAAGUCAGGGGUGAAAUCCCGGGGCUCAACCCCGGAACUGCCCUUGAAACUGCUAGGCUAGAAUCUUGGAGAGGUCAGUGGAAUUCCGAGUGUAGAGGUGAAAUUCGUAGAUAUUCGGAAGAACACCAGUGGCGAAGGCGACUGACUGGACAAGUAUUGACGCUGAGGUGCGAAAGCGUGGGGAGCAAACAGGAUUAGAAACCCGGGUAGU
rnacentral:rRNA from 1 species